AACGAACGCUGGCGGCAGGCCUAACACAUGCAAGUCGAGCGAAGCCUUCGGGCUUAGCGGCGGACGGGUGAGUAACGCGUGGGAACGUGCCCUUUGGUACGGAAUAGCCCCGGGAAACUGGGAGUAAUACCGUAUGUGGUCGAGAGACGAAAGAUUUAUCGCCAAAGGAUCGGCCCGCGUUGGAUUAGGUAGUUGAUGGGGUAAUGGCCUACCAAGCCGACGAUCCAUAGCUGGUUUGCGAGGAUGAUCAGCCACACUGGGACUGAGACACGGCCCAGACUCCUACGGGAGGCAGCAGUGGGGAAUCUUAGACAAUGGGGGAAACCCUGAUCUAGCCAUGCCGCGUGAUCGAUGAAGGCCUUAGGGUUGUAAAGAUCUUUCAGUGGGGAAGAUAAUGACUGUACCCACAGAAGAAGCCCCGGCUAACUCCGUGCCAGCCGCCGCCGUAACAC
rnacentral:rRNA from 1 species